AGCGGCCGCGGGGGUGUCUAAGUGUGUAUGUUACCAAGGUUACCAACAGUCACUUAUCACCAGCAAGUGCAUUGAUGUAAACGAGUGCCUGAGCACGACGUCUCCGCUGUGUCAGUACGGCUACUGUCGCAACCUGGUCGGCUCGUACCGGUGUAGGUGUUUCCAACAGUACGGCUUCGUCGUCAGUCCCGACGGCAAGGCGUGUAUCAAACCUUACCAAGUCCAGCCAUGGUAUCAACGAUACUUCAUGCUCUCCAUGCUGGGCGGAGGGUUGUAAGACAAACGUAACUUUCCGGUGUGGAUACGUGACAUGAUCUUCGCGUUCUCAUCAGAUAGAUGUCAGAAGAAAU